GUUUAUGUAGCUUAUUUAAAGCAUGACACUGAAAAUGCCAAGAUGAAAGUGAAUAAAAAUCUCAUAAACA
rnacentral:tRNA from 1 species